AAACGACGCUGGGGAUGCUACAAUGCUGUCGACGAACCUUCGGGGUCAUGGCGCACGGGUCGUACGCGUGGAUGACCUUUGCUUCGGAAUACAGUUAGAAAUGACUGCUAAUACCGGAUGAUGUCUUCGGACCACAGAUUAUCGGCAAGGGAUGAGCCCGCGUAGGAUUAGGUAGUUGGUGGGGUAAAGGCCUACCAAGACGACGAUCCUUAGCUGGUCUGGGAGGAUGAUCAGCCACACUGGGACUGAGACACAGCCCAGACUCCUACGGGAGGCAGCAGUGGGGAAUAUUGGACAAUGGGCGCGAGCCUGAUCCAGCAAUGCCGCGUGAGUGAUGAAGGCCUUCGGGUCGUCAAGCUCUUUUACCAGAGCAUGAUAAUGACCGUACCUGGAGAAUAAGCUCCGGCUAACUCCGUGCCAGCAGCCGCGGUAAUACGGAGGGAGCUAGCGUUGUUCGGAAUUACUGGGCGUAAAGCGCACGUAGGCGGGUACUCAA
rnacentral:rRNA from 1 species